GAAAUGCGAUACGUAAUGCGAAUUGCAGAAUUCAGUGAAUCAUCAAAUUUUUGAACGCAACUUGCGCUGUUGGGUAGCCCCGACAGCAUGUUUCUCUGAGUAUCGAUUCUAACCCAACUCGCCCACGUGGCGGAUAAUGAAGGUCUCGUUGUGUCUUUCACAAGACUAAUGCGAGUCCUUUUAAAUACAGUUGAGUUCUUUCAACAUAUGAUCAGACUACCUUAUGAAAGGUUCGCCCUUCAUCUAGCUGAUGUUGAUAAUUCAGUCCCCGUUUUCGGGUUCUGUCUUUGACAUCGGGUCUAGGAAGACGCGGAUUGUAGUCGCGAUCGAAGGAACCGAAACAAAGGAAUCAAACAAAACAUUCUUAACCGAGUGUUUCUUUUUGAAUUUGAUCUCAGAU
rnacentral:misc_RNA from 1 species